AUUAGUUUAUAAGAUAUCAUGGGAAGGAAGCUUAUGGCUCAGUGUUCAUGUUGGCUAAACAAUGGUCCUGAGUAGAUACGUGUAGAGGAGCUUCUGUGUGCUUGGAAUGGAGCUUUUUACACGUGUUUGGCCCUAGAGAAUUGGUCCCCGCAUUGAAGGUCGAGCCAUAGAGGCGGUGGUCUGUCUUGGAAGUACACUAUAAAUAAUCAUAUAUAUAUAUAUAUAUACAUAUCGAAGUUAUGGAGAUGGGGAUGGUAAUUGGUCGGGCAUGACAAGCCCAUUGGUCACAUGGAUUCACAUGUGAGCCAGAUGCCCUUUGCUCUGUAAUUGACAUGGGGAAGCAGAUGAAGAGGUCCUAUGUGUAUAUAGGUCAUUGGUCGAGCUUGUCAGAAGGCUCUUGACUGGUUUGAAAGAGAUUGAUGGAGGAGGAGGAGAAGGAAUAUAUAUGAAUAAUUGGUGUGUUUGUGUUUAUGGUCAUUGGUGGUUCGAAUAUUGUACCGAUUGCAUGCAUGAAUGUGUUCAAUUCUUUUUUCUUUUCUUUUUUGAGUAGAGGACGUAUGAAUAAUAAUGCAUUUUGUUUGCCAACAAAGGGUCUGACUUGCAUAACAAUGGUUUUAGGUCCGAAUUCUCGUGUUAUCUCUUGAUAAUAGUGUGUGAAAAAAAAAUCUUCUUUUAUUUUUAUAGUAUUUUAGACUAUCGCUUAUAUUAAUAAAUAUAAUUCAUUUUGCUUGGUAGAAGAGUCAAUGAUUGAAUUAUUUGAACUCCAACUCCUCUCUUUCUUGAACAUUAUUGAAUAUGGAAGGAAGAGUCAAGAAGUGUCUCCUCACUCGUGGUCUCAAUAAAUGUGGGAAAGCAAAACCUAAAAACAAAAGAGAAAAAGACGACGAAGAACACACCAUGAAGUCCAUGACAUUGAUAUAAUUAAUGGUUUUGUAUUGUUCUUGGUGAAAAAAAGCAAUGGUCGAUCAAUUGCAUUGGAUCAAUAGGGUUUUUAGCAGCCAGGCUAAAAAGCAGUAAGGUCUAGAGCUUGUAUAAGUAGACAAUUGAGAUUUGGCCAUUCACUUCUCCCUAGAUUCCUCCUAGCUAUGAGUUCUAUCUUGAUAAAUUAAUAGCUUGGUUGAAAUAAUAACAUUUUGUCUCUCCACAAGGACAAUACAUAUAAAAUUAAUACUUUAAAUCAAUUAAUAAGCCACAUGUAGUAAAUUGGAGUUACAAUCGUGAUAUUUUAAAGUACUCUAAUAUACAUAAAGGGGUUAUGAACUCAAGUGCAAUACGACAAGUACAUUGCUUUAACUAAUUUGCAUAACCCAUAUUUUCUAGCAAAUUGACGCUUUGGGAAAAAAAAAAAUUUAUAUGAAUAAUUAAACAAGUUAAAUAUAAUAUUGUCACUUCUAAAAACGUAUGGAUAAAUAACUCAUUAAAAAGUAUUAAAGUAUAAAUUUAUCUACGCAUGUUAAAAUGUGAUUGGUUGGUAAGUACUAAGCAUUUUUUAUAAAAAAUAAAUAAGUAAUUUAAAGUAUAGAUUAAAAUGCACUAUUUGGAAACUAGAAAUUAAAAAAAGAAAAUAAACAGAAUGAACUAAAAAUCCCCUACUUUUAAAUAAAUUUAGUAAUCUAUCAAUUCCUAAGUUG
rnacentral:lncRNA from 1 species